ensembl:lncRNA
UGAUUGGAUUGCAACAGGAUUUCAGUCAGAAUAAAGAUCCUUUGUCUGUUGUCAAUAGCGUGGAGAUCAGAGUAGCGAAGAUUGCUUUUCAGACCAAGCAGGUUUUUGUUGGGCAAUGUGGCAAAUUCAGGUGACCAACUUAAAAAUGAGCAAAACCAGCAUGGAGAAUUGUUUCCCUCUCAUGCGAAACUCUUGAUCAUGUAGAUUCCUAUAGAAUGACUGGAUUUAGCAUGUGAAACUUCACAGAGCAAUGGUGACUGCAUUUUAAGGCUUAAAUCUAUAGAAGAAUUAUGGCAACUUCUCCAAAAUACUUCAAAUGACUGUGAUUUUUAUUUUUUUUAUACUAUAAAGUAGGGAUGCUUUCAAAAACAAUGUCAUAAAUAGACUUUAUUACAUGAAUUAGGACACAUUAACCACUAAUUUGCCAAAAUAAACAGUAGUUACAAUCUGCCAUUAUAUUGUUGGUGAAAAUAUAAUACUUCAAGCAACUUCAAACACCUUGAAACAAACAGAAGCAGGCAAUAAAAGGUGUUAGUUUGAGGAUUUAGGGUGUGCAUGUUGAGUUCCUUUGCCAGCUGAGCGUGAACGCCGCUUGUCUCUGCUGUUCUCCCACAGAGUGAGCCCUUAUUUGCUCUUUUGGAUUCGCAGAGACUCUAUUUUUAGGGGAGACUUACAGACAGAGUUCCUGGCGGCCGUGAGCUCGCGGUUGUUUCAGAAAACCACGGGGCCCCAGCGUAACGAUUCUCUAUCUUCCUCCGUCCUUCACGUCCAACCUUCAUCCACAGGCCUCUCGCGGCAGAAACAAUGGAUUGAAGUGUUUCAACUCAUGGCGUGAACAUAUUAACAGCAUAAUUUAUGUGGCCCAUGUGCAGGGGAAUGAAAUAGCCUUAUGACAGAGAGUGCUGCGGUGAAGUCGAUUACUGAUGUGGGCGAGCAUAUAAUCAGCGCUCACUCUCUUCAUGUACUUACAAGAGGCAAGUUCUCGGAAAGCCUCCCAGGACGUCAAUGCACACCAUGUCAUAUUCCAGUAAUGAGGAUCUGCCAGAGACAAACAGAAAUAAGGAAGACGGAACAAACAGUCCGUGUCCAACAGACUGAUUAUGACUGCAGACGAGAGUGCCGUGAAAAAUAAUGUAUGCUUGUUCUGAUGGAGCUAAAUGGACCUGAUUGAGGGCAAGCAGAGAAGGCCCUGCUGGCCCUGACGGCCCACCACUGCUCCUAAAUGAGGUCAGUAGUAUUCUGUUGUGAUAUGUGAUCAGUUAUCUAUGCAGCUUUUAAUAUGAGCACUGUAACUUAAUAUCUUAGGAAAGUAACUAUUAUUAUACACUGUAAUAUAGUUUAUAUACUGUACAUAAGAUUGAGAGAUUAACAUUAUUCUGAUGCUAUUGUUUUAUAGCUGUAAUUACAAAUCUGUGAUUCCUAUCCAUAUUUUAUAGUUUAUUGCAUGCAGGGUGAUUUGUUAAGCCACCAAAUUGUUUCUAGGCAACCUUAAACAAAAUUGGUGAUAUGACCACAUAUAUUUGAAGAUUUAACAAUUUUACUAACCCUGUGAUGGAAAGAGGCACAUGGAAUAAUUGGUAACUAUAUUUAGGUAAAAAAAAAUAGCUGUUUCUAAACCUUUUUUUUUUUCAUGCUGCUUGUGUCUGAACAAUUACAAAUAAAUCUGAAAUAUAUAUAUGUACUGCCA